UACAGAGGGGGCAAGCGUUAUUCGGAAUUAUUGGGCGUAAAGGGCGCGUAGGCGGCUUGCCAAGUCAGUGGUGAAAUCCCACAGCUUAACUGUGGAAGUGCCUUUGAUACUGGCGAGCUCGAGGGAGGUAGGGGUAUGUGGAACUUCUGGUGGAGCGGUGAAAUGCGUUGAUAUCAGAAGGAACGCCGGUGGCGAAAGCGACGUACUGGACCUCUUCUGACGCUGAGGCGCGAAAGCUAGGGGAGCAAACGGG
rnacentral:rRNA from 1 species